rnacentral:rRNA from 1 species
AUUGAACGCUGGCGGCAGGCCUAACACAUGCAAGUCGAGCGGAGCGGCGGAGGGGUGAGUAUGGCCUAGGACUCUGCAUGGUCGCGGGGGAUAAGGUCCGGAAACGGGAGCUAAAACUGCAUCCUAUCAGAUGCGCCUGGGCCGGAUUAGCUAGUGGGUGGGGUAAAGGCCUACCAAGGCGACGACCCGUAACUGGUCUGAGAGGAUGAUCAGUCACACUGGAACUGAGACACGGUCCAGACUCCUACGGGAGGCAGCAGUGGGGAAUAUUGCACAAUGGGCGAAAGCCUGAUGCAGCCAUGCCGCGUGUGUGAAGAAGGUCUUCGGAUUGUAAAGCACUUUAAGUUGGGAGGCGUUACCAACAGAAUAAGCACCGGCUAACUUCGUGCCAGCAGCCGCGGUAAUAC